rnacentral:rRNA from 1 species
GCGUUAAGUUGCAGGGUAUAGACCCGAAACCCGGUGAUCUAGCCAUGGGCAGGUUGAAGGUUGGGUAACACUAACUGGAGGACCGAACCGACUAAUGUUGAAAAAUUAGCGGAUGACCUGUGGCUGGGGGUGAAAGGCCAAUCAAACCGGGAGAUAGCUGGUUCUCCCCGAAAGCUAUUUAGGUAGCGCCUCGUGAAUUCAUCUCCGGGGGUAGAGCACUGUUUCGGCCAGGGGGCCAUCCCGGCUUACCAAUCCGAUGCAAACUGCGAAUACCGGAGAAUGUUAUCACGGGAGACACACGGCGGGUGCUAACGUCCGUCGUGAAGAGGGAAACAACCCAGACCGCCAGCUAAGGUCCCAAAGUCAUGGUUAAGUGGGAAACGAUGUGGGAAGGCCCAGACAGCCAGGAUGUUGGCUUAGAAGCAGCCAUCAUUUAAAGAAAGCGUAAUAGCUCACUGGUCGAGUCGGCCUGCGCGGAAGAUGUAACGGGGCUAAACCAUGCACCGAAGCUGCGGCAGCGAACGUAUCACCCAAGACAACUUUGCACAGUUGACGAUUGACGGAGCGAAGCGACGUCAAAGCGUUUUACAACGUCGAGUUGGCUUAGGGAUACGUUCGUUGGGUAGGGGAGCGUUCUGUAAGCCGUUGAAGGUGUGUCGUGAGGCAUGCUGGAGGUAUCAGAAGUGCGAAUGCUGACAUAAGUAACGAUAAAGCGGGUGAAAAGCCCGCUCGCCGGAAGACCAAGGGUUCCUGUCCAACGUUAAUCGGGGCAGGGUGAGUCGACCCCUAAGGCGAGGCCGAAAGGCGUAGUCGAUGGGAAACGGGUUAAUAUUCCCGUACUUGGUGUUACUGCGAAGGGGGGACGGAGAAGGCUAUGUUGGCCGGGCGACGGUUGUCCCGGUUUAAGCGUGUAGGCUGACUUUCCAGGCAAAUCCGGAGAGUCAAGGCUGAGGCGUGACGACGAGGCACCACGGUGCUGAAGCAACAAAUGCCCUGCUUCCAGGAAAAGCCUCUAAGCCUCAGGUAACAUCAAAUCGUACCCCAAACCGACACAGGUGGUCAGGUAGAGAAUACCAAGGCGCUUGAGAGAACUCGGGUGAAGGAACUAGGCAAAAUGGUGCCGUAACUUCGGGAGAAGGCACGCUGACACGUAGGUGAAGCGGUUUACCCGUGGAGCUGAAGUCAGUCGAAGAUACCAGCUGGCUGCAACUGUUUAUUAAAAACACAGCACUGUGCAAACACGAAAGUGGACGUAUACGGUGUGACGCCUGCCCGGUGCCGGAAGGUUAAUUGAUGGGGUCAGCGCAAGCGAAGCUCCUGAUCGAAGCCCCGGUAAACGGCGGCCGUAACUAUAACGGUCCUAAGGUAGCGAAAUUCCUUGUCGGGUAAGUUCCGACCUGCACGAAUGGCGUAAUGAUGGCCAGGCUGUCUCCACCCGGGACUCAGUGAAAUUGAACUCGCUGUGAAGAUGCAGUGUACCCGCGGCAAGACGGAAAGACCCCGUGAACCUUUACUAUAGCUUGACACUGAACACUGGUCCUUGAUGUGCAGGAUAGGUGGGAGGCUUUGAAGUGUGGACGCCAGUCUGCAUGGAGCCAUCCUUGAAAUACCACCCUUUAAUGGCUGGUGUUCUAACGUGGACCCGUAAUCCGGGUUGCGGACAGUGUCUGGUGGGUAGUUUGACUGGGGCGGUCUCCUCCUAAAGAGUAACGGAGGAGCACGAAGGUUGGCUAAUCCUGGUCGGACAUCAGGAGGUUAGUGCAAUGGCAUAAGCCAGCUUGACUGCGAGCGUGACGGCGCGAGCAGGUGCGAAAGCAGGUCAUAGUGAUCCGGUGGUUCUGAAUGGAAGGGCCAUCGCUCAACGGAUAAAAGGUACUCCGGGGAUAACAGGCUGAUACCGCCCAAGAGUUCAUAUCGACGGCGGUGUUUGGCACCUCGAUGUCGGCUCAUCACAUCCUGGGGCUGAAGUAGGUCCCAAGGGUAUGGCUGUUCGCCAUUUAAAGUGGUACGCGAGCUGGGUUUAGAACGUCGUGAGACAGUUCGGUCCCUAUCUGCCGUGGGCGCUGGAAGAUUGAGGGGGGCUGCUCCUAGUACGAGAGGACCGGAGUGGACGCAUCACUGGUGUUCGGGUUGUCAUGCCAAUGGCACUGCCCGGUAGCUACAUGCGGAAGAGAUAAGUGCUGAAAGCAUCUAAGCACGAAACUUGCCCCGAGAUGAAUCUUCCCUGAGCCUUUAAGGCUCCUGAAGGAACGUUGA